GGAGGGUGCGAGCGUUAAUCGGGAUUACUGGGCGUAAAGGGCACGUAGGUGGAUAGUUAGGUGAGAUGUGAAAUACCCGGGCUUAACCUGGGGGGGUCAUCUGAAACUGGCUGUCUAGAGUACAGUAGAGGAAAGUGGAAUUUCCGGUGUAGCGGUGAAAUGCGUAGAUAUCGGAAGGAACACCAGUGGCGAAGGCGACUUUCUGGACUGUAACUGACACUGAGGUGCGAAAGCGUGGGUAGCGAACAGGAUUAGAUACCCUGGUAGUCCACGCUGUAAACGAUGAGAACUAGCUGUUUGGGAUAUAGAAAUUCUGAGUGGCGUAGCUAACGCGCUAAGUUCUCCGCCUGGGGAUACGGCCGCAAGGUUA
rnacentral:rRNA from 1 species